CACAUGUCUGAGCACACAUAAGGGACUCUGUGAAUAUGUGUGUAUUUGUUGUGUGCAUGCCCGCAGAAUGGGAUACAGAGACUCACUCUAUUCAUCAGGGAUUUGUUUUAAUCAGGAAUUGGCAGGCAUGGGAAGAGCACGCUGUCCAGGGUCGGCAAGGCCUGGAAAUGUCAGAGCAUCAGAAUACUGAAAAUAAAAGACAUGGUUAAAUCUAUUUUGGUGGCGAGGCUGGGGACACUGGGAAUAUGAUACUGAUCAAUCUAGAAUGUGUGGAGGAGUGGACAGCAGUUUUUAAUCAGACAAGACCUUCAACCCCGGCACAGACCAUCAAUUGGCAGGUGUUAAAACAGACCAAAAUGUGUUCUCCCGCCCAGAAGCAAGCAAAGCCAACCCCAGCUGCAGUUCCCUGACAGUCCAGUGAAUUCAGCCAAAGGAAAUGGCCCCACAUGGAGGGCAAGUGACAGAAGACCUGAUGACUCCGGUGGCUCAGCGGAGAGUGCAUUAAUAGGCUUGACCACUUCUGCUCGAUCUUCAGGCAAGCUGGGUCUGACCCCUGGACACUGUCCCCUGGAGCCCCUGGCCUCCACGUGUCCACCCACUGCCAUGGUCAUGGCUCCUCAGCAGGAGGAGGCCCAGCAGCCUCCAGGUGCCCCUGCCUGGUGCUAGCUGCCCACCGAAGCUCUAGCCUCACACUCUCAGGUUCAAAUCCAGCGACAAGAGCGGAUCCCACAAAGGCCACGAGAGUCACCCUAAACGGUCAGCUUAGGUCCUUCGUUCACUGAGCCCAUCGCUGUCCAGGGCAAGUGGUGCUGGCUGGGCUAGGUCCAGCUCCCGUGUCCACCCUGGGACCUGAGGUUCAGGGUCAGCUCACCCUAGACACAUGGAUCGAGUGGGGAGGGUGAAUCCUCAAAUGCUAAUCAGGUUCUGUUGUACAGAAGGGGAAGCGGAGGCAGGAGGAUGCAGCAAGACCUGUUCCCUCCUCUAACGGCACUCAUAGGACAGCCCAGCCACACAUUCAAAGAAUCUUGAAGGAAUAGGAUGGUUGGUAUGGUUGGUGUGGAAGAAGGUUCAUAAAUUCUGGAUUUAGCUUUGUGGGAUUCAGCUGACCUGAAAUUUAUACCUGUGCAGGUAGGUGGUUGCUGGGUAGGGUGACCACUACUGUCUCUCUCCAUCACCCAGGGCUGUUUUCAGCUCAAAGCCACAGAAGCCCAGGCAUGGUGGCAUCUCCGGGGGAAGUUGCCUUAUUCCAGAUUCACAGGUCCGGGGCGAAGGGGCCAGGCAGGGCAGGUGUGGGGCGGCAGGAUAUCGCCCUGGGCCUGGCUCCUUCUGCCUUUCUGCCACCAUCUUCAGCGGUGCCAUUACCUCGAGGCCUUCUGUGGUUGCUGGAGCUGCCACGCUCGGCCUCCUGUCUGCCUCCAGAUGGGAGAGGAGGAAGGAGGAGGUGAGAGCAGGAAAGAGCUUACAUAAAAGACCACAUUUUCCCAGAAUCCCCAGCAGCUGCCUGUUCUCCCCCUCCACUGGGCUAGAGCUGUGUCACACAGGCUGAGCGGCCAGGAAGCUGGGCACCAUCCAGGGAGUGUGUGAUCGUCGGGGUCCUGUUGAUUCCUGCUUUUGAGUAAUGAAGGUGACCAAACCACAUGACCCUGUCUGCAAAGAUUCCACCUGGACUCCCAGUUCCUCCAAGGAACCGUCAUGUGGUUCAAAUCCAAUGAAAUUCUCUAAAUCUCCACCCUCCUCAGGGUGCAGAGUUGGCUGCUUCUCUGUGCCCCCUGCUGAUCACGGCAACCCCUGGGUGCCUCGGCCUGCGAAGCCCCAGCUGUCCUCCGUCUGCAGACAAGCCGAGGUAUGAAAGCCUCCUCGCUGGCCCAGGAGCCUGUCAUUGUCCUCCAGCAGCUCUAGCCUGGAUGCGGUCCCAGAGAUAAAUCAUAUCUCUUUAAAAAGCCACAGUGGCCCAUUAUUUCUGCUUGAAAAUACCCCUGGCUCUCUGCUGGUGAGCUGGUUGACAGGCCCCGGCUGUUGUGCUCAGUGCUGCAAAGAGUCACGUCAGUCUGUCGACUUGUGUAGUGAGCAAGCUGGUAGCUUCAGAUGGUAUGCACAUGAAAUCCCGUCCUGGCAUCCAGGACUUGGCUGGGGGUUGCAGAGAGAACCACAUCUGCAAAAGAGUUGGUAUUUUACAGUCCCAGCCUCACGUCCUUGUGAAAUGCCCUGUUCAUACUGGGCUACAGGGGCGGGAGCAAAAAUGAUACAAUGACAAUUCCUGGGCUGUGUUCUGCAAUAUUCUACAACACUUCCACAAGAAAACUCCAAUCUUUAAAAAUAGACUGAGCACAAUUAAACAAUCACUAUAGAUAUUUCUUUUCUUUUUUUUUUUUUUGAGAUGGAGUCU
rnacentral:lncRNA from 1 species